UAAAAUUGAUUUUUAAUUAUUUAAUUAUUUAAAAAUAUUAUUGAGCCAUUUGAUUGGCUUUGUGAUGUUUGAUUGUCUGUUUGGUCUUGGUCAUGGUUGAUUUGAACUUUUAUUUGAUCAAUACUAUUGGAUUUAGGGGGUUGAUGAAAUGUACAUUUCAUCCCUCAAGAUGAAUGGAUAAUAUUGAUCAGAUGAAAUUUCU
rnacentral:lncRNA from 1 species